CGGCGUGCUUAACACAUGCAAGUCGAACGAGGGAAUUCUUUCGGAGAAUAUACCGAGUGGCAAACGGGUGAGUAACGCGUAGGCAACCUGCCUUCAAGAGGGGGAUAACACUUGGAAACAGGUGCUAAUACCGCAUAACCAUGAACACCGCAUGAUGUUCAUGUAAAAGACGGCUUUCGCUGUCACUUUUGGAUGGGCCUGCGGCGUAUUAACUUGUUGGUGGGUAACGGCCUACCAAGGUGAUGAUACGUAGCCGAACUGAGAGGUUGAUCGGCCACAUUGGGACUGAGACACGGCCCAAACUCCUACGGGAGGCAGCAGUAGGGAAUCUUCCACAAUGGACGAAAGUCUGAUGGAGCAACGCCGCGUGAAUGAAGAAGGCCUUCGGGUCGUAAAAUUCUGUUGUCAGAGAAGAACGUGCGUGAGAGUAACUGUUCACGUAUUGACGGUAUCUGACCAGAAAGCCACGGCUAACUACGUG
rnacentral:rRNA from 1 species